rnacentral:antisense_RNA from 1 species
UAUCAGUGUGAGACAUCUGGGGAGGCUCCCCUUUUUUUCACCAUUUGAGGACUGAAAGUAAAUUUAGCUUCCUCAGCAGAAAGAAAAGAAGCUGUUUUGGAGGUUGGGAAGAGCUUUAGAAAAUGCGGCAUCAAGUCUGUUGCCCCUUUAAAGAAAGCAGCUCUGGAAAAGGCCUAGGACAUUAGUUGCUACAAAGUUCUAGAUCAUUCUGUGUGGUAAAGAAGUGCCUUUCACCUCCCACUGUGACUCUGAGGCCUCCCCAGCCAUGUGGAACUGGGUCAAGCAAUGGAAUGGAAAUGUGUCAUGUCCUUUCAAGGUCAUCUUUGGAGCAAUGUUUAACAGCCUGCCCAAGAAAUAUUUAAUUACCUAGAGGAAAUCAUCCAUCCCACUGAUGCGAAAAGAAGGUGGUUUCCAUUUUCACUCUGGAUCUAUCUAAUUGACUAUUUAAUUGAUGUGGACUUUAGUAGAGGCAGUGAUUGCUUCCAGUUGGUGGGCCCAGGAAGACUGUGAAAAAGGAGUCACAGAAGGCCUGGAAUGGCUGCGAUGGAGAUAAAGGAUGAAGGGCAGUCCCCUCAGGGUGUUAUCCAAAAAGUCACCUUGGAAGAGGAAGAAACUCCUACCAAUAUCAGAAGAGCAACAAACAUUUUUUUUCUAGAAGAUAAGUGGCUAAUUUCAAAAUAAUUAUUUUAUCAACUGCCA